AAUCGUCCUUUGUCGAAGCCCAGGGAUCCACCUUUUGCCAUAACAAAAGGACGUUGGCAUCCAAUCGGGAUUGAGGCUGAUGUGGGCGGGUCCAGGAAAAGCAACAGCCAAUGGCAGUACAGGGGCGAAGUUAGGCGUGAGAAAGCCAGUCCCAGGAAAGCAGCCCUUCAGUCUCAGCAGGAGCCUGAAAAUUGGGGUCAGAAAUCCAGUGUGGAAAAUUCUGACAGCUGUCAGGAAGGAGGUUAUUGAAUUCAUUGGAGAAUGAGUGAUGUCCUAAAUUUGGGAAUAAAUGUAGGCCGGGACUUGUUUGAAAGUGAAAGCUAAAACAGGGAAAGAAAGUAAGAAAAGACAAGACCCGUCAGAUCCAGCUUGGAACGUUUCCAAGGGAUAUGUCCAGAUGGGGUCUGCUCCAGCUCCUCGAGGCCCAUUCUGUGGCUGCGGAGGUGACCCAAGCGUGCUGAGUCCAUGCCACUCCACAGCCUUCUCCUGCAAACCUUUCCCCACCUUUCUGCCAGAUCACAG